GACGAACGCUGGCGGCAUGCCUAAUACAUGCAAGUUGAGCGCUGAAGGGUGGUUCUUUUCCCGACUGGGUGAGCAGCGAACGGGUGAGGACCGCGUGUCUAAUCUGCCGUUGAGCGGGGGACAACAUUAGGAGACGUAUUCUAACACCGCAUAUAAACGUUAAACACAGGGUUUAUGUGUGAAAAAUGCAAUUGCAUCACUCAGAUAUGAUCACGCGGUGUGUUAGCUAGUGGGUGAGGUAAAGGCGCACCAAGGCGAGGAGACAUAGCCUACCUAAGAGGGUGAUCGGACACACUGGGAAUGAGACACGGCCCAAACUCCUCCGGGAGAGAGCAGUGGGGAAUAUUCGGCACUGGACGAGAGUGCGAGCGAGAGACGCCGCGUGAGUGAGGAAGGGUUUCGGAUAGUAAAAAUCUGUUGGUGGAGAAGAAAGGUGGUGAGAGUGGAAAGCUCAUUAAGUGACGGUAACUAACCAGAAAGGCACGGCUAAAUACGUG
rnacentral:rRNA from 1 species